CACACAUGUAAUUUAAGAUUAAAGAUUUUAUCGGUGUACGAUGGGGAUGCGUUCCAUUAGAUAGUAGGCGGGGUAACGGCCCACCUAGUCUUCGAUGGAUAGGGGUUCUGAGAGGAAGGUCCCCCACAUUGGAACUGAGACACGGUCCAAACUCCUACGGGAGGCAGCAGUGAGGAAUAUUGGUCAAUGGGCGAGAGCCUGAACCAGCCAAGUAGCGUGAAGGAUGACUGCCCUAUGGGUUGUAAACUUCUUUUAUAAAGGAAUAAAGUCGGGUAUGCAUACCCGUUUGCAUGUACUUUAUGAAUAAGGAUCGGCUAACUCCGUG
rnacentral:rRNA from 1 species